AGUGAACGUUGGUGGCGUGGAUUAGGCAUGCAAGUCGAGCGAGAACCGUAGCAAUACGGGGACAGCGGCGAAAGGGACAGUAAUGUGUAGGUACCUACCUCCGGGUUCGGGAUAGCUGCGGGAAACUGCAGGUAAUACCGAAUAACGUCUCCGGACCAAAGGUGUGAUUCCACCUGGAGAGGGGCCUGCAUCCUAUUAGCUUGUUGGCGAGGUAACGGCCCACCAAGGCGACGAUGGGUAGCGGGUGUGAGAGCACGACCCGCGUCAUUGGGACUGAGACACUGCCCAGACACCUACGGGUGGCUGCAGUCGAGGAUCUUCGGCAAUGGGCGCAAGCCUGACCGAGCGACGCCGCGUGCGGGAUGAAGGCCUUCGGGUUGUAAACCGCUGUCGUAGAGGAGGAAGUGCAGGGGGGUUCUCCCCUCUGUUUGACCUAUUCUAGGAGGAAGGACGGGCUAAGUUCGUGCCAGCAGCCGCGGUAA
rnacentral:rRNA from 1 species